rnacentral:rRNA from 1 species
CCCCGGGAAACUGGGGAUAAUACCGGAAGGAUCACUUAUGCUGGAAUGCUUGGUGGUCGAAAGGUGACGCCCUUGGAUGGGUCUGCGGCGGAUUAGGUUGACGCCGGUGUAACGUACCGGCGUGCCUGUAAUCCGUACGGGUUGUGGGAGCAAGAGCCCGGAGAUGGAUUCUGAGACACGAAUCCAGGCCCUACGGGGCGCAGCAGGCGCGAAAACUCUACAAUGCAGGCAACUGCGAUAGGGGGACAUCGAGUGGCAUCCACCUUGGGUGCCUGUCCCACCGUCUAAAAAACGGUGGUUAGCAAGGGCCGGGCAAGACCGGUGCCAGCCGCCGCGGUAAUACCGGCGGCUCGAGUGGUGGCCGAUAUUAUUGAGUCUAAAGGGUCCGUAGCCGGCUUUGCAAGUCCCCUGGGAAAUCCAGCGGCUUAACCGUUGGGCUUUCAUGGGAUACUACAUUGCUUGGGACUGGGAGAGGUAGGAGGUACUCGGGGGGUAGGGGUGAAAUCCUGUAAUCCCCCGGGGACCACCGGUGGCGAAUGCGUCCUACCAGAACAGGUCCGACGGUGAGGGACGAAAGCUAGGGGCACGAACCGGAUUAGAUACCCGGGUAGUCCUAGCCGUAAACGAUGCCCGCUAGGUGUCACGGCGGUCGUGAAUCGCCGUGGUGCCGUAGGGAAGCC